GGGAGUGUAACUCAGUGGUAGAGCACUUGGCUAGCAUGCACGAGGCUCUGGGUUCUGUCCCCAGCCCUCCUC
rnacentral:tRNA from 1 species